CGCAUGAACAGAGGAUGAUUAAUGUCCUCGAGUCACNAGAGCACGUCAGCUUCCGUAAGGGACAUUGAUUCAGGCAAAAAAGACCGAUCAUUGCUUCUACAUACAAGACUUCGGGCAACACAUGGGCGUCCAAUGCCUGCUAGCUAAAUAAGCAAGCCAAGGGCAGACGUGCAUGGGUGAUUGAGGGUCUAGAUCGCACAAAACAUUUUAGCACGAGAUAGAGAAGGGAUCAUGGGACCAGAGAAUUCCGUCAAAAUAGGUAUGCUGCACAGGUGGCCAAGCCAAUCCAAGGUAAAAGGUUUACACUUGAACAAAAUUGAAUAGGUGUGAAACAGCAAUUGUCGCUGCCAGGGCAGGGAACCAACCGACCGAAACAUACC
rnacentral:misc_RNA from 1 species